rnacentral:lncRNA from 1 species
UUUCAUCUUUUGACAAAAAAAAACUCAUUUGAGUUUAUCUUUAUACAUCAAAGAGUUUCAAAACAUAAAUACAAAGCUUAGACAAGCUCGUGCAUCUUAUUUCUCUAAGAUCUAAUCUUAAAGUAACUACAAAGAAGAAAACUUUACUAGUAUGAAUUAAGUCUACCUCUAUUUCUAACUAAACUCCAAGUCUCCAACUCUUACAAUUAAGAAUCAUUUUACAUUGUUUCAGAUAAACCCUUUACCAAAAGAAUAGGCAACAGAUAUUGUCUCAGUUCCAGUAAUAUGCAGGGGAUAAAAGUCGGAGAGCAACAACACCUUAGCACUGUAAUAACCUCAUUAAAACUGGCGGAGAUCGAUAAACAAAUGCCCCGUGAGCCGAAUCUUUAAGAACAAAUUAAAUGUUCACUACUGUUCGUCAAUGAGAGACUUUAACUUCUGUAUGAAUUCAGGAAUCUUUUGUGCUCCACUACCAUCACUAGACCCAUCAACUGAUAAUUCUUCAACUGCUAGAAUUGGCAUUAUAACCAAAGAUAACAAACCAGAAACAAUUGUAUCAAACUUAUGUGAUUCCGGACCCGAUCUAUAAACCCGAUCUCUGUUACUUCCAAUUCAAAGCCCAAUUAGAGCCCAUACGGACCCAAUUGGAUCCUGUAACGGAAGGAACGGAGUGACGUUGAACUGUAUGCAAGAUUACUGUAAACAUGCACAUGGUCAAAAUUCAAAACCAGUUUUGCAAUUGCAGGUGAUGACUAGAGACUAUAGAUAUAUUGGUUACAUAUUUAGGUUUAGAAAAAAAAAAAAUGAUAUGACGUAUAGGAGGAGAGUCGAGGAAGAUAACUAAAAAGGUUUGUAAC